GUGAGCAAAGAGCGCGCGACAAAGGACUGCAAAUAAAGCACCAAAUUCGUGAGGGACGGAAUUGCAGAGCCGGAGACGCGCUUUGGUGGGAAAAGGAUCCGCUCCCCAGGACGGGGGCUUAGCGCCCGAGUGGGAGGCACAGAUUGCGCGUCGGAGGCCGCCGCGGAGCGAAGCGCUUCGUUAUCCGACUGUGAGCAAACGCGCGGCGCGGAGCCCGGCGGGAGCCAAGUAAACCGGAGGAAAUGAAGAGCGCUGGUAUUGUCUGAAAAUAUCCUCCUGCGGCUAAAUAUAUCACUUGACUCCUAUUGUCCAGCGGCUAAUCAUUCUGCGUAAAUACAGCUGUUUUCGUCCUCACCGUGCUCGCUGUAACCCACAAUAACAAAACCACCUUGACUUGGGAACCCGGCAAAAAACGGGAACUUAUUUCUAGGAUAUCCCAAGCAGCAACGGUUUAAAAAAAAAAAAAAAAGCCCAAAGCGAUGCGGCUUCGGGCUCCCUUCCUGCCAGCGGGGCCGAGCCGCUGUGAGCGGGGAGCGGGCAGUGCUCGGCUGCCGAGGGCCCGGCGCGCUACUCCCCGCGGCCCCGCUGCUUCCAAGGGCAUCGCCUCGGACAAGGAGACGUGGGAAUACGAGACGGGAAGGGGGUAAAAUAAUAACUAAAAAAAUAAACAACAAAGUUAAGGAGGCUAUUUUUUUAAAUUAUUUUUUAAACGCGGGGGGUUCUUGCAUGAGGAAGGCGAGGAGAAGCGCAUUUUGGGAUUCGCCG
rnacentral:lncRNA from 1 species